UGACUUUUAGUUAAAUGGCUGCAGUAUUUUAACUGUACUAAGGUAGCAUAAUAAUUUGUUUAAUAAUUUUAGACUUGAAUGAAAGGUUUUUUUAGAUUUAACCUUUCUUUAUAUUAUUUAUAAGAAAUUAUUAUAUCAGUUAGAAAACUGAUAUAAAUUUAUGGGACGAGAAGACCCUGUAGAGUUUAAUAUUCUAACAAUACAUGUAUUGUUAGAAUAUUAUAUUGGGGGGAUAGUAAUUAAUAUAAACAAUUUUUUUUUUAUUCAUUAAUUUAUGAUUUUUUGAUCCAAUAAUUUUGAUUAUAAGAUAAAGCUACCUCAGGGAUAACAGCGUAAUUUAUUUGG
rnacentral:rRNA from 1 species